rnacentral:rRNA from 1 species
UACGAGGGGUGCAAGCGUUGUCCGGAAUCACUGGGCGUAAAGGGCUCGUAGGCGGCCAACUAAGUCAGACGUGAAAUCCCUCGGCUUAACCGGGGAACUGCGUCUGAUACUGGAUGGCUUGAAUCCGGGAGAGGGAUGCGGAAUUCCAGGUGUAGCGGUGAAAUGCGUAGAUAUCUGGAGGAACACCGGUGGCGAAGGCGGCAUCCUGGACCGGCAUUGACGCUGAGGAGCGAAAGCCAGGGGAGCAAACGGG